UACAGAGAGUGCGAACGUUGUUCGGAAUUACUGGGCGUAAAGCGCGUGUAGGCGGCCCUGCAAGUCGGGUGUGAAAUCCCAUGGCUCAACCAUGGAAGUGCACUCGAAACUGCAGGGCUAGAGUCCUGGAGAGGAAGGUGGAAUGCUUGGUGUAGAGGUGAAAUUCGUAGAUAUCAAGCGGAACACCGGUGGCGAAGGCGGCCUUCUGGACAGUGACUGACGCUGAGACGCGAAAGCGUGGGGAGCAAACAGG
rnacentral:rRNA from 1 species